UGAGUUUGAUUCAUGGCUCAGAGUGAACGCUGGCGGCAUGCUUUACACAUGCAAGUUCGAACGGUAACAGGGAGCUUGCUCCGCUGACGAGUGGCGAACGGGUGAGUAAUAUAUCGGAACGUACCCAAGAGUGGGGGAUAACGUAGCGAAAGUUACGCUAAUACCGCAUACGAUCUAUGGAUGAAAGCAGGGGACCUUCGGGCCUUGUGCUCCUGGAGCGGCCGAUAUCUGAUUAGCUAGUUGGUGAGGUAAAGGCUCACCAAGGCGACGAUCAGUAGCUGGUCUGAGAGGACGACCAGCCACACUGGAACUGAGACACGGUCCAGACUCCUACGGGAGGCAGCAGUGGGGAAUUUUGGACAAUGGGCGCAAGCCUGAUCCAGCAAUGCCGCGUGAGUGAAGAAGGCCUUCGGGUUGUAAAGCUCUUUUGUCAGGGAAGAAACGGCUGUGGCUAAUAUCCACGGCUAAUGACGGUACCUGAAGAAUAAGCACCGGCUAACUACGUGCCAGCAGCCGCGGUAAUACGUAGGGUGCAAGCGUUAAUCGGAAUUACUGGGCGUAAAGCGUGCGCAGGCGGUUUUGUAAGUCUGUCGUGAAAUCCCCGGGCUCAACCUGGGAAUUGCGAUGGAGACUGCAAGCUAGAAUCUGGCAGAGGGGGGGUAGAAUUCCACAUGUAGCAGUGAAAUGCGUAGAGAUGUGGAGGNACACGAUGNCGAANGCAGCCCCNUGGGUCAAGAUUGACGCUCAUGCACGAAAGCGUGGGGAGCAAACAGGAUUAGAUACCCUGGUAGUCCACGCCCUAAACGAUGUCUACUAGUUGUCGGGUUUUAAUUAACUUGGUAACGCAGCUAACGCGUGAAGUAGACCGCCUGGGGAGUACGGUCGCAAGAUUAAAACUCAAAAGGAAUUGACGGGGACCCGCACAAGCGGUGGAUGAUGUGGAUUAAUUCGAUGCAACGCGAAAAACCUUACCUACCCUUGACAUGUCAGGAAGACCGGAGAGAUCUGGUUGUGCCCGAAAGGGAACCUGAACACAGGUGCUGCAUGGCUGUCGUCAGCUCGUGUCGUGAGAUGUUGGGUUAAGUCCCGCAACGAGCGCAACCCUUGUCAUUAGUUGCUACGCAAGAGCACUCUAAUGAGACUGCCGGUGACAAACCGGAGGAAGGUGGGGAUGACGUCAAGUCCUCAUGGCCCUUAUGGGUAGGGCUUCACACGUCAUACAAUGGUACAUACAGAGGGCCGCCAACCCGCGAGGGGGAGCUAAUCCCAGAAAGUGUAUCGUAGUCCGGAUCGUAGUCUGCAACUCGACUACGUGAAGUUGGAAUCGCUAGUAAUCGCGGAUCAGCAUGCCGCGGUGAAUACGUUCCCGGGUCUUGUACACACCGCCCGUCACACCAUGGGAGCGGGUUUUACCAGAAGUAGGUAGCUUAACCGCAAAGGAGGGCGCU
rnacentral:rRNA from 1 species